CCUACGGGAGGCAGCAGUGGGGAAUAUUGGGCAAUGGGGGGAACUCUGAUCCAGCGACGCCGCGUGAGUGAUGAAGGUUUUCGGAUUGUAAAGUUCUAUCAGCAGGGAAGAAAGAAGUGACGGUACCUUAGGAAUAAGCCUCGGCUAACUACGUGCCAGCAGCCGCGGUAAUACGUAGGAGGCGAGCGUUAUCCGGAAUGACUGGGCGUAAAGGGAGCGUAGGCGGUUUGGCAAGUCAGUAGUGGAACGCGGAGGCUCAACCUUGGAACUACUUCUGAAACUGUUGGACUGGAGUGCAGGAGGGGCAAGCGGAAUUCCUAGUGUAGCGGUGGAAUGCGUAGAUAUUAGGAGGAACACCAGUGGCGAAGGCGGGUUGCUAGACUGUAACUGACACUGAGGCACGAAAGCGUGGGGAGCAAACAGGAUUAGAUACCCCUGUAGUC
rnacentral:rRNA from 1 species